UCUCGUUCAGAUGCCCCCAUAUUCUUAUAAAACUUUAUUUUCCAUUAAAAUAAAUUAUUUGUAGACUUUGCAAACUAUUUAAGUUUUCUACGCGAGUUAUGUGAACUCAUCAUAUGUGCGUGUGUGCAAUUGUAUAUGAUUUGAGACCUACAUGAUAUUAUCUAUGAUGUAUGUUUAUGUAUUCAUAUUGUUAGUUUUAUA
rnacentral:lncRNA from 1 species